GAAACCAAAUGACAGAGCAACUGGAGGCAAAUUUAAGUUAUUAGCAUUAAAGAUCUGUUUCAGAGAAUGGGAAUCAUAGGCUCAUAUGUAUGGCUUAUAUGCUUCCUGGGCUGACUUAUGAAGAAAGUAGUUCUUUUCAAUCAGUUUCUCAAGCUGGGACUGAAUGUCAGAAAUUUUAGACCAGGAAAAGUCAAGUUCACUUAAUGGAACCUUGGAUUGUUUCAAGUAGCGAAGAAAACCCAAUUAUUCUGGGCGCAAAAUGAGCAGGGCAUGCCCUCUCCCAAUUCAGAAUCAAAAAACACAAAGAAGAAGAAAAAGAGAAAAAUGCCAAAUGAUGCUGGGCCUGAUACAAAAAAAGCAAAAACUGCAAACAAAGGGGAAUCUGAAGAAGAGAGUGCAGAGACUCCUAAAGAAACAGAAAAUAAUGUGGAGAAGCCAGAUAAUGAUGAAGAUGACAGUGAGGUGCCCAGCCUACCCCGGGACUGACAGGAGCUUUUGAGGAUACUUCAUUUGUUUCUCUAUGUAAUCCUGUCAAUGAAAACACUCUGAAGGCAAUAAAAGAAAUGGGUUUUACAAACAUGACUGAAAUUCAGCAUAAAAGUAUCAGACCACUUCUGGAAGGCAGGGACUUCUAGCAGCUGCAAAAACAGGCAGUGGUAAAAGCCUGGCUUUUCUCAUCCCUGCAGUUGAACUCAUUGUUAAGUUAAAGUUCAUGCCCAGGGAUGGAACGGGAGUCCUUAUUCUCUCACCUGCUAGAGAACUAGCCAUGCAAACUUUUGGUUUGGUGUUCUUAAGGAGCUAAUGACUUGCCAUGUGCAUACUUAUGGGUUGAUAAUGGGUGGCAGUAACAGAUCUGUUGAAGCACAGAAACUCGCUAAUGGGAUCAACAUCAUUGUGGCCACAGCAGGCCGUCUGCUGGACCAUAUGCAGAAUACCCCAGGGUUUAUGUAUAAAAACCUGCAGUGUCUGCUUAUUGAUGAAGCUGAUCAUAGCUUGGAUGUUGAGUUUGAAGGGGAAUUAAAGCAAGUUAUUAAACUUUUGCCAACACGUAAACAGACUAUGCUCUUUUCUACCACCCAAACUUGAAAAGUUGAAGGCCUGGCAAGGAUUUCUCUGAAAAAGGAGCCAUUGUAUGUUGGUGUUGAUGAUGAUAAAGCUAAUGCAACAGUGGAUGGUCUUGAACAGGGAUAUGUUGUUUGUCCUUCCAAAAAGAGAUUCCUUCUGCUCUUUACAUUCCUUAAGAAGAAACGAAAGAAGCAGCUUAUGGUCUUUUCAUCUUGUAUGUCCGUGAAAUGCCACUGUGAGUUGCUGAAGUACAUUGAUUUGCCCGACUUGGCCAUUCAUGGAAAGCAAAAGCAAAAUCAGUGUACAACCACAUUCUUCCAGUUCUGCCACCCAGAUUCAGGAACAUUAUUGUGUACGGAUGUGGCAGCAAUUAAAUCAUUUUGUUUAAUUUUCAGAGAUUAG